GCAUAAUAAAUUGUUCUCUAAAUAAGGACUAGUAUGAAAGGCACCACGAGGGCUUAACUGUCUCCCUCUUUCCAAUUAAUGAAACUGAUCUUCUCGUGAAGCUUUAAACUUAUCACCAUUUACUUCUUAUUACACCACUGUAUAUAGUAAAAUUUACUUGAUAGUUUUCGGCUGGGGUGACCCUGGAGAAAAACAAAUCCUCCAGGAUGAACGGAAUAAUAAUCCUAAUCAAAGAGCUACAGCUCUAUGAAUCAAAAUAUUGACAGAUUUGAUCCAAUUACUUGAUCAACGAACCAAGUUACCCUGGGGAUAACAGCGCAAUCCAUUUCAAGAGCCCCUAUCGACAAAUGGGUUUACGACCUCGAUGUUGGAUCGGGGUGUCCCAGUGGCGCAACCGCUACUAAAGGUUCGUUUGUUCAACGAUUAAUAACCCCACGUGAUCU
rnacentral:rRNA from 1 species